CCGGGGGGAGGCGGCGGCGGCGGUGGCGGGAGUGGAUCUGGCCAGAAGGGAUCUGGCCGGGAGUCAGCGGGGUUGGAUGAGAUUCACAGACUGUUGGACUAAGUUGGAAGGGAUCCACAAGGAUCCUCGAGUAAAACACAUUUACUCUUAAGUAAAUGUCCCGUAGAGGGAUAGCACCCACCACCUUAGUGUUACUAGCACCAUGUUCUAACCAACCGCAACUACAGAAAAGUAACAAAUUUAACUACUAAUACUGAUGUGUUCUGUCAAUGAAUCCACACAUCACCGUGAGGAUGUCACAGAAUCCCAGCUGUAUGCUGCUCUGCUUCAGGAUUUUGAAGCCCAAAUUGCCUGGUCUGGUGGAAAUACUUCUGAUGGAGAUAUGUUAGUGCAAGCUCUGCCAUUUCACAAGCAGGAUCAAAAGUACGAUCAGGAUGCAUCUGGUUCAAAUGCGUGAAACUGAUACGGUGUGUGGAAUUUCAGGCUGCCCUGAAAUGGACCAAGGUAAAAAUGAAUUAUGUAGCAUUGGAGAUGAAAAGAAUGAAAACAAAGAAAACCUUGCAAAAAGUUACUGUCUUUACCUUAAAAUAAGAGUCCUUGCUGUUGUGACAUGAGCUCAAGCAUAAUCCUCGUGCAUCUCACUCCUGCGAAAGGAACACCUUGUUUGGAGAAGUAGCAGAUUACUUUCAAUUUGAGGAACCCUGCAGUGCUGACUUCCAUAUUCCAAGAGAAAGGACAGAUCCUGUGACAUACAGACCCUUUAGAGUUAUGGGCUUCAGCUCCAUCACAACAUCCAUACAUGUGUUGGUGGUGUCUUGACUGAACCACGCUGGUGUACACUGAAUUGGAGAGUCAGGAUCAAGUAUUCAAAACCAGACAUCAGUUGAGUGAACAUCACAAGCAAAUCCAUCAUGAAGAAGCACCAAACCCACAAAUGAAAGAGAGGAAGAGAAGAAUGAAGUCUGAAGAUAAUCCUGUGUGUUUCAACGCAAAAGCAACUUGAAAGUAGAAUUCAAGCUAAUUUAAAUGCAGUAUCUACAUACCUACAGUAGGUAUGAUCUGUAUUAUAGCAAAACUUUCUGUUUUGUUUCUUAACUGCAGAAUAUUUUGUUAUCUGGCAUGUUUAUUUGUUUGCUGAUUUACUUACAUAUUUUUGUAAGAAAGUUGCUCUUAGAUAGCCUGAACAAAAAUAAAAAUAGCUACCUCCUACUUGGUU